GAAAUGCGAUACUUGGUGUGAAUUGCAGAACCGUGAGUCAUCAGAUUUUUGAACGCAACUGGCGCUGGCUGGGUCUCCAGCCAGCAUGCUUGUUUCAGUGUCUUGUUUUCUCCUCACCCAAAACUUAAUGCGAGAGAUACCCUUCUCUUGUUAAGCAUGAAAGCACUCUUCUCUCUGCGAGUGACUCUUGACUUGUUCAGGAGUCGCACCCAAUGCAGACGUCACAUUUCUAACAAUGUGAACUCAUUGGGAGUAGAGGAUGUCAGCUCACGCUGUCAGUGCUUAGUCACUUAAACUUUCUUUGCAUCUGAAAUCAAGCAGGAUCACCCGCUGAACUUAA
rnacentral:misc_RNA from 1 species